rnacentral:tRNA from 1 species
CAAGUUAAAGUUCAUUUAGGGAACUUCUCAUUUACACUGAGAUAGAGUUUGUGCAAUUCAAAUUAAUUUGA